AGAGUUUGAUCCUGGCUCAGGACGAACGCUGACGGUGUGCUUUAGACAUGCAAGUCGAACGAGAAAGCCCUUCGGGGUGAGUACAGUGGCGAACGGGUGAGUAACACGUGGGCAAUCUGCCCCUCGCAGGGGGACAACCGGGGGAAACCCCGGCUAAUACCCCGUACGCUUGUUGAGUCGCAUGGCUCUUCAAGGAAAGGUAGCUUCGGCCAUCUGGCGAGGGAUGAGCCCGCGGUGCAUUAGCUAGUUGGUGAGGUAACGGCUCACCAAGGCGACGAUGCAUAGCUGGUCUGAGAGGAUGAUCAGCCACACUGGGACUGAGACACGGCCCAGACUCCUACGGGAGGCAGCAGUCGGGAAUCUUGCGCAAUGGGCGAAAGCCUGACGCAGCAACACCGUGUGAGCGACGAAGGCCUUCGGGUCGUAAAGCUCUGUUGUUGGGGACGAAGGGUUAGGGGUUAAUAGCCCCGAGCCUGACGGUACCCUUCGAGGAAGCCCCGGCUAACUACGUGCCAGCAGCCGCGGUAAUACGUAGGGGGCGAGCGUUGUCCGGAAUUAUUGGGCGUAAAGAGCGUGUAGGCGGUUCGGUAAGUCUGCCGUGAAAACCCAGGGCUCAACCCUGGGCGUGCGGUGGAUACUGUCGGGCUAGAGGGUGGUAGAGGCGAGUGGAAUUCCCGGUGUAGCGGUGAAAUGCGCAGAUAUCGGGAGGAACACCAGUAGCGAAGGCGGCUCGCUGGGCCAUACCUGACGCUGAGACGCGAAAGCGUGGGGAGCAAACAGGAUUAGAUACCCUAGUAGUCC
rnacentral:rRNA from 1 species